GUUAUAUGGUCAAGCGACUAUGCGCACAUGGUGGAUGCCUAGGCGGUAGAAGGCGAUGAAGGACGUAGUAGCCUGCGAUAAGCCUCGGGGAGCUGGCAAACAAGCUUUGAUCCGGGGGUGUCCGAAUGGGGAAACCCGGCCACUUCGGUGGUCAUCGUGCACUGAAUACAUAGGUGUACGAAGCGAACCCGGGGAACUGAAACAUCUCAGUACCCGGAGGAAAAGAAAUCAACCGAGAUUCCCUCAGUAGCGGCGAGCGAACGGGGAGCAGCCCAGUCGCCAUAAUCCAGUGGAACCUAGCAGAACGGUCUGGAAAGUCCGGCCAUAGCAGGUGAUAGCCCUGUAUGCGAAAGGUGAAGCUGGUGGGUGACGAAGAGUAGGGCGGGCCACGUGGAAGCCCGUUUGAAGAUGGGGGGACCAUCCUCCAAGGCUAAAUACUCUCUACCGACCGAUAGUGAACCAGUACCGUGAGGGAAAGGCGAAAAGAACCCCGGAGAGGGGAGUGAAAUAGAUCCUGAAACCGUGUGCGUACAAGCAGUGGGAGCCCACUUCGGUGGGUGACCGCGUACCUUUUGUAUAAUGGGUCAGCGAGUUACUUUCAGCGGCAAGCUUAACCGUCUAGGGGAGGCGUAGGGAAACCGAGUCUUAAUAGGGCGUUCAGUCGUUGGGAGUAGACCCGAAACCGGUCGAGCUAGCCAUGGCCAGGGUGAAGGCAGGGUAAAACCUGCUGGAGGCCCGAACCUGUUACUGUUGCAAAAGUAUAGGAUGAGCUGUGGUUAGGAGUGAAAGGCUAAACAAGGCCGGAGAUAGCUGGUUCUCCUCGAAAGCUAUUGAGGUAGCGCCUCGCGUAUAACUCCUGGGGGUAGAGCACUGUUUAGGCUAGGGGGCCAUCCCGGCUUACCAACCCUAUGCAAACUCCGAAUACCAGGAAGUUCGAGCGCGGGAGGCACACGGCGGGUGCUAACGUCCGUCGUGAAGAGGGAAACAACCCAGACCGCCAGCUAAGGUCCCAAAAUUACAGCUAAGUGGGAAACGAUGUGGGAAGGCAUAGACAGCCAGGAGGUUGGCUUAGAAGCAGCCAUCCUUUAAAGAAAGCGUAAUAGCUCACUGGUCUAGUCGGCCCGCGCGGAAGAUUUAGCGGGGCUCAAGCUGUAUACCGAAGCUGCGGAUUCGCAUCCGAAAGGAUGUGAGUGGUAGAGGAGCGUUCUGUAAGCCUGCGAAGGUGUGUCGUGAGGCAUGCUGGAGGCAUCAGAAGUGCGAAUGCUGACAUGAGUAACGAUAAUGCGGGUGAAAAACCCGCACGCCGUAAACCCAAGGUUUCCUGCGCAACGUUAAUCGGCGCAGGGUGAGUCGGCUCCUAAGGCGAGACCGAAAGGUGUAGUCGAUGGAAAGCAGGUUAAUAUUCCUGCACCUCGGACUGCUGCGAUGGGGGGACGGAGAAGGUUAGGCAUACCGGGUGUUGGAUGUCCCGGGGAAAGCAUGUAGGCAGGGCCCUUAGGCAAAUCCGGGGGCUCAAUGCCGAGAUGCGAGACCACUGGCCUUGUGCCGGGAAGUUGCUGAUACCACGCUCCCAGGAAAAGCCCCUAAGCUUCAGGUAGUCCAGGCCGUACCGUAAUCCGACACUGGUGGGUGAGGAGAGAAUCCUAAGGCGCUUGAGAGAACUCGGGUGAAGGAACUAGGCAAAUUUGUACCGUAACUUCGGGAGAAGGUACGCCUCUGCCGGUGAAGAGACUUGCUCUCGUAGCCAGCAGGGGUCGCAGAGAAAUGGUGGCUGCGACUGUUUAACAAAAACACAGCACUCUGCAAACUCGCAAGAGGAAGUAUAGGGUGUGACGCCUGCCCGGUGCCGGAAGGUUAAUUGAUGAGGUUAGCCGCAAGGCGAAGCUUCUGAUCGAAGCCCCGGUAAACGGCGGCCGUAACUAUAACGGUCCUAAGGUAGCGAAAUUCCUUGUCGGGUAAGUUCCGACCUGCACGAAUGGCGUAACGA
rnacentral:rRNA from 2 species